rnacentral:rRNA from 1 species
UACGUAGGGUGCAAGCGUUGUCCGGAAUUAUUGGGCGUAAAGAGCUCGUAGGCGGUCUGUUGCGUCGGCUGUGAAAACCCGGGGCUCAACCCCGGGCCUGCAGCCGAUACGGGCAGACUAGAGUUCGGCAGGGGAGACUGGAAUUCCUGGUGUAGCGGUGAAAUGCGCAGAUAUCAGGAGGAACACCGGUGGCGAAGGCGGGUCUCUGGGCCGAUACUGACGCUGGAGGAGCGAAAGCGUGGGGAGCGAACAGG